AUUGAACGCUGGCGGCAUGCUUUACACAUGCAAGUCGAACGGUAACAGGCCGCAAGGUGCUGACGAGUGGCGAACGGGUGAGUAAUGCAUCGGAACGUGCCCAGUCGUGGGGGAUAACGCAGCGAAAGCUGCGCUAAUACCGCAUACGAUCUGUGGAUGAAAGCGGGGGACCGCAAGGCCUCGCGCGAUUGGAGCGGCCGAUGUCAGAUUAGGUAGGUGGUGGGGUAAAGGCCCACCAAGCCAACGAUCUGUAGCUGGUCUGAGAGGACGACCAGCCACACUGGGACUGAGACACGGCCCAGACUCCUACGGGAGGCAGCAGUGGGGAAUUUUGGACAAUGGGCGCAAGCCUGAUCCAGCAAUGCCGCGUGCAGGAAGAAGGCCUUCGGGUUGUAAACUGCUUUUGUACGGAACGAAACGGUCCGGGUUAAUACCCUGGGCUAAUGACGGUACCGUAAGAAUAAGCACCGGCUAACUACGUGCCAGCAGCCGCGGUAAGAC
rnacentral:rRNA from 1 species